UCCCUGACGCCACUCAUCAUUUUCUCUUCCCGCAACUUCUCUACCUCAACAAAAUUGAGGUUGAAAAACUGAAGCUCCAAGAAGUGUAUUUUCUUGAUUGAAAAAACUGAAACUCCAAGAUCUGAUUGGACCCAACAACAAAAAGAAAAUAACGUAUUUUUAGAAUUUCUUCCUACCCAACUCUGGAAACCCCUCUCCUCCAACUCAUCGUCGUCCAUUGCACUGCCCCCAACCCAGCAACAUCAAUGGCUCCCUCUCACAUCUCUGCCCCCAACCCCAGCAACAUCUAUUGGUUUAUUAAAAAAAAAAACCCAUAUAUGGAUUUGGUUGUUGAAGAAAGAGAGGGGAAAGAGAGAAAAAUAGGGAGAGAGAAAGAAGGAGGAGGAGAGGGGGGCUUGGUUGUCGAAUGAACAAGAGGGAGAGUGGGGAAGAGAGGACGGAAGGGGUAGGAUUUGG
rnacentral:lncRNA from 1 species